UUUCCAUAUUUCCAUCCAACUGUAUCACAUGCCAUGAUGCCAAUCAUAUGCCCUCUAUCUUCACUCUUAGAUUUGUUUUUUGAAAAAAUUUUCCAAUUAGGAAACUGCUGCAUAAAAAAUUUGCCUUUUUAUAUUCACAUGGCAGAGUGGAGCAUUCCCCCCCCCCCUCCACCUCUCCCCCCUUUCUCAGUUUUGUGGGCGGAGCAUUUCCCAUAUAUAUAGCUUGAGGCAGCUUACUUGGCACCCAAGUGUUUAUGGGUGACCAAUGGUUAUAUGGCCAUUGUAACCAUUCUAUACAGUGGAUUCUCAGGAUUUGCCACGUCUAAUUUUAUACCCCAACUCAAGCAUAUAGUGACCACAUAUUUGACUUCCCUCUUGUAUUUUCUUCUGUAUAAAUAUUAACUUUUAGAUGUCAAACACAUCCAAAAAAUAUAUUUUUAUUUUGGAUAUAUACAUCCUCAUCCAUAUCUGACCCAAAUAGGGUUGGACCUGGAUGAGAAACCGAUUAGUAUUCUUCAUCCUGAAAACUUUUGUAGUAUGAUUUGCACAUUUAAGCCUCGGCUUUUCUACAACUGUGUUCAAAUAAAGUCCAAAACACACAACCUGAAUUUCAAUAUGAAUUCGUUUUCUCCCUUUUCUUUCAGGAUGGGAUUAAUUAUGUUUCUGGUCUAUCCGAAAUGCGUUGGAUGAUUAUUUUAUUGUUGUGUUGUGCUU